rnacentral:rRNA from 1 species
AAUGAACGUUGGCGGCGUGGAUUAGGCAUGCAAGUCGUGCGGAAAGGCCCCGUAAGGGGUACUCGAGCGGCGAAAGGGAUAGUAACGCGUAGGUCACCCACCCUUGGGACGGGAAUAGCUGGGGGAAACUCCAAUUAAUGCCCGAUGACGUCUUCGGACCAAAGGUGUGAUUCCGCCCGGGGACGGGCCUGCGUCCUAUCAGCUAGUUGGUGAGGUAACGGCCCACCAAGGCAACGACGGGUAGCGGGUGUGAGAGCAUGACCCGCAUCACUGGGAUUGAGACACUGCCCAGACACCUACGGGUGGCAG